GAUGAACGCUGGCGGCGUGCCUAAUACAUGCAAGUCGAGCGAACAGACGAGGAGGGUGCGCCUCUGACGUUAGCGGCGGACGGGUGAGUAACACGUGGAUAACCUAGCUAUAAGACUGGGGUAGCUUCGGGAAACCGGAGCUAAUACCGGGUAAUAUAUUGAACCGAUUGGUUAAAACGUGAAAGACGGUAUUGCUGUCUCUUAUAGAUGGAUUCGCGCCGAGUUAGCUAGUUGAGAAGGUAACGGCUUAGCAAGGCAACAGUGCGUAGCCCACCUGAGAGGAUGAUCAGCCACUCUGUAACGGGGACAAGGUCCAGACACCUAACGGAGGCACGAGUAAGAAAUCUUCCGCAAUGAGCAGUAGCCUAACGUGCCAACGCCGCGAGAGUCAGAAGCGGCUUCGCAGCGUAAAACUCUGUUAUUAGGGAAGAACAAAGGUCUAAGUAACGAUGCACGUCUUGACGGUACCUAAUCAGAAAGCCACGGCUAACUACGUG
rnacentral:rRNA from 1 species